AUUGAACGCUGGCGGCAGGCCUAACACAUGCAAGUCGAACGGUAGCACAGAGAGCUUGCUCUCGGGUGACGAGUGGCGGACGGGUGAGUAACGUCUGGGAAACUGCCCGAUGGAGGGGGAUAACUACUGGAAACGGUAGCUAAUACCGCAUAACGUCGCAAGACCAAAGUGGGGGACCUUCGGGCCUCACACCAUCGGAUGUGCCCAGAUGGGAUUAGCUAGUAGGUGGGGUAAUGGCUCACCUAGGCGACGAUCCCUAGCUGGUCUGAGAGGAUGACCAGCCGCACUGGAACUGAGACACGGUCCAGACGCCUACGGGAGGCAGCAGUGGGGAAUAUUGCACAAUGGGCGCAAGCCUGAUGCAGCCAUGCCGCGUGUAUGAAGAAGGCCUUCGGGUUGUAAAGUACUUUCAGCGGGGAGGAAGGCGGUGAAGUUAAUAACUUCACCGAUUGACGUUACCCGCAGAAGAAGCACCGGCUAACUCCGUGCCAGCCGCCGCAGUAA
rnacentral:rRNA from 1 species